UAGAAUCCUUGCCACUUCCAGCCCUUUGCCUAAGAUUAGCCUAUGGGAAGCAUGGCCUCUGUGUGAAUUGGUGGUGGAUUCAAAGCACAGCAUCUGGGGUCCUGUGUCAAUUACGCUCUCCUCAACAGAAGAUCUGAGUGGUGGUGCAUCUUCAUGGCUGCUGGCACUGGAAUUGGUGGGUUCUUGGUCUCACCGACUUCAAGAAUGAAGCCGUGGAUCCUCGUGCUGACAGAAUCAAGUUUUAAAGAUCCAGUUAAAUGCCUGGCUAUCAACUUGCCAAGAGCUGAUCCAGAUGGAAGCCAUCAUCCUAAGAGUCAGACAACUCAUUAACUCUAAAGGGACUGCCAUGUAUUAAAAAUUCUCUUUAUGGAUUGUGAUGAGUUGCAUUGUUUGAUUUAUUCUUUUGGUCAGCUUUUGGUCCAGUGACUCACUCACAGAAACUCCAAGACAGAUUAAACUAGCAAGAGUUGAAUAUCUGAAUUUCCAAAAUUAUGAGGCUACAAAAAGAAGCAUAGAUUAAAGUUAGGACCAAAUGCUGCUCAGAAAUUGUUUUAAUCUCAAAAGUAGUUGGCAAGUUUUCAGAGUUCAUUUUCAAGGCCUGGUGUAUCAAUGUCAUCUACAAACUCAGAGUGAAACAACUGAACAUUCAGAGCUAUUUCAUUUUCAAAGAUUCUCACAGCCAACAGAGAGAAGAAGGUCAUACGAAGACACGCAGAAUUUGGACUUAUGCGGUCACAAGUCAAGGAGUGCUUGGAGCUACCGGGAGAUGGAAGAGUCAAGGCAGGAUUUUCCCUGGAAGAUUUGGAAGGAACAUAUUUCUCCUGAAACCUUGAUUCUAGCCUUCACUAAUGACAGAGAAUAAAUUUCUGUUCUUUUAAGCC
rnacentral:lncRNA from 1 species